rnacentral:rRNA from 1 species
AGAGUUUGAUCAUGGCUCAGAACGUACGCUGGCGGCACGCCUUAUACAUGCAAGUCGAACGAAGUAGCAAUACUUAGUGGCAGACGGGUGAGUAACAUGUAGGUAUCUUCCCUUUGGUGAGGAAUAACACGAGGAAACUUGUGCUAAUACCUCAUAAGUCUUUACGGAGAAAGCUUUAUGCGCCGAUGGAUGAGCCUGCACUUGAUUAGUUUGUUGGUGGGGUAAUGGCCUACCAAGACUUUGAUCAAUAGCUGAUCUGAGAGGAUGAUCAGCCACAUUGGGACUGAGACACGGCCCAAACUCCUACGGGAGGCAGCAGUAGGGAAUAUUGCACAAUGGAGGAAACUCUGAUGCAGCGAUGCCGCGUGAGUGAAGAAGGCCCUUGGGUUGUAAAGCUCUUUCGUCGGGGAAGAAAAUGACUGUACCCGAAUAAGAAGGUCCGGCUAACUUCGUGCCAGCAGCCGCGGUAAUACGAAGGGACCUAGCGUAGUUCGGAAUUACUGGGCUUAAAGAGUUCGUAGGUGGUUAAAAAAGUUGGUGGUGAAAUCCCAGAGCUUAACUCUGGAACUGCCAUCAAAACUUUUUAGCUAGAGUAUGAUAGAGGAAAGCAGAAUUUCUAGUGUAGAGGUGAAAUUCGUAGAUAUUAGAAAGAAUACCAAUUGCGAAGGCAGCUUUCUGGAUCAUUACUGACGCUGAGGAACGAAAGCAUGGGUAGCGAAGAGGAUUAGAUACCCUCGUAGUCCAUGCCGUAAACGAUGUGUGUUAGACGUUGGAAAUUUAUUUUCAGUGUCGCAGCGAAAGCAUUAAACACACCGCCUGGGGAGUACGACCGCAAGGUUAAAACUCAAAUGAAUUGACGGGGACCCGCACAAGUAGUGGAGCAUGUGGUUUAAUUCGAAGAUACGCGCAGAACCUUACCAACACUUGACAUGUUCGUCGCGACUUCAAGAGAUUGGAGUCUUCGGUUCGGCCGGACGAAACACAGGUGCUGCAUGGCUGUCGUCAGCUCGUGUCGUGAGAUGUUGGGUUAAGUCCCGCAACGAGCGCAACCCUCACUUUUA